CCUACGGGUGGCAGCAGUGGGGAAUAUUGCACAAUGGGCGCAAGCCCGAUGCAGCCAUGCCGCGUGUGUGAAGAAGGCCUUCGGGUUGUAAAGCACUUUCAGCGGGGAGGAAGGCGGUGAGGUUAAUAACCUCAUCGAUUGACGUUACCCGCAGAAGAAGCACCGGCUAACUCCGUGCCAGCAGCCGCGGUAAUACGGAGGGUGCAAGCGUUAAUCGGAAUUACUGGGCGUAAAGCGCACGCAGGCGGUCUGUCAAGUCGGAUGUGAAAUCCCCGGGCUCAACCUGGGAACUGCAUUCGAAACUGGCAGGCUAGAGUCUUGUAGAGGGGGGUAGAAUUCCAGGUGUAGCGGUGAAAUGCGUAGAGAUCUGGAGGAAUACCGGUGGCGAAGGCGGCCCCCUGGACAAAGACUGACGCUCAGGUGCGAAAGCGUGGGGAGCAAACAGGAUUAGAUACCCCGGUAGUC
rnacentral:rRNA from 1 species